GCGGAGGAGAACGGCGGCGGGAAGAGUCGUGACGGCUGACAGAGAGACGGAGAGAGAGAGAGCGGCCUUUCCUCCUCUUCCUGACAGGGGCGGGGCGUUGUUGGCCUCCGCUUCUCCCGGAAGCCUAGAGAGGCUCUAUACAGGGCGGUUUGCUGUGACUUCUCUACCACGCAUUUAAACGGACAUCACGCUGGAGGUGAUAGACCAAACAUCCUUGGGGAGCUGAGCUGAUCAACAGUCAAGAAAGAUGCUUGGGUAGAAUUGGCGUACCGGUCUUGAUUUAUUAAAUUUCUCCAUUUCAAACCUC